rnacentral:lncRNA from 1 species
GUUUUCUUUAUUUUUUUGGUCCACCGAGGGCCCUAAGUGUGUUUUCUCGCAGGAACCGGUGCAAGUUCGCCUGAAUUCGGCCAAAAACGGCCAAAGAUAGCCAACCCAAGCCAGAGUGCCGCCACUCGUAGGUACCGUAAGCACGUUUCAGUUCCCGAAGAAAAAUUCAGAGAACCUAGGGACCGCCCAUUUGCGCAGUAACCGUCUAGUUUUUGGCGGCGAAUCAAAUAAGGACCCCUCACCCUAUUUCCUAUCAUCAAAUUAAAGGUC